rnacentral:rRNA from 1 species
AUUGAACGCUGGCGGCAGGCCUAACACAUGCAAGUCGAACGGUAACAGGAAGAAGCUUGCUUCUUUGCUGACGAGUGGCGGACGGGUGAGUAAUGUCUGGGAAACUGCCUGAUGGAGGGGGAUAACUACUGGAAACGGUAGCUAAUACCGCAUAACGUCGCAAGACCAAAGAGGGGGACCUUCGGGCCUCUUGCCCUCGGAUGUGCCCAGAUGGGAUUAGCUAGUAGGUGGGGUAACGGCCCACCUAGGCGACGAUCCCUAGCUGGUCUGAGAGGAUGACCAGCCACACUGGAACUGAGACACGGUCCAGACUCCUACGGGAGGCAGCAGUGGGGAAUAUUGCACAAUGGGCGCAAGCCUGAUGCAGCCAUGCCGCGUGUAUGAAGAAGGCCUUCGGGUUGUAAAGUACUUUCAGCGGGGAGGAAGGGAGUAAAGUUAAUACCUUUACUCAUUGACGUUACCCGCAGAAGAAGCACCGGCUAACUCCGUG